AAGCGCAAAGCUCCCACCCUGGUUGUUAAAUUAGACUUUCGCAAAGCCUUCGACUUUGUUUGCUGGUCCUCCCUCCUUCGCACUCUUCGUACUCGUGGUUUCCCACAACGAUGGUGCGAUUGGAUCGAAUCAUUGCUCCGCACUGGUUCAACUGCGGUCAUGCUUAAUGGUGUCCCGGGUAGAUGGAUCCAGUGUAAGAAUGGACUAUGCCAGGGUGAUCCGCUCUCGCCCUACCUCUUCAUCAUUAUCCCCGACAUUCUUCAGCAACUUAUU
rnacentral:rRNA from 1 species